rnacentral:rRNA from 1 species
CGUAAACCGCUUUCAGCAGGGAAGAGUCAAGACUGUACCUGCAGAAGAAGCCCCGGCUAACUACGUGCCAGCAGCCGCGGUAAUACGUAGGGGGCGAGCGUUAUCCGGAUUCAUUGGGCGUAAAGCGCGCGUAGGCGGCCCGGCAGGCCGGGGGUCGAAGCGGGGGGCUCAACCCCCCGAAGCCCCCGGAACCUCCGCGGCUUGGGUCCGGUAGGGGAGGGUGGAACACCCGGUGUAGCGGUGGAAUGCGCAGAUAUCGGGUGGAACACCGGUGGCGAAGGCGGCCCUCUGGGCCGAGACCGACGCUGAGGCGCGAAAGCUGGGGGAGCGAAAAGGAUUAGAUACCCUGGUAGUCCCAACCGUAAAACGAUGGACGCUAGGUGUGGGGGGAGGAUCCCCCCGUGCCGCAGCCAACGCAUUAAGCGUCCCGCCUGGGGAGUACGGCCGCAAGGCUAAAACUCAAAGGAAUUGACGGGGGCCCGCACAAGCAGCGGAGCAUGUGGCUUAAUUUGAAGCAACGCGAAGAACCUUACCAGGGCUUGACAUAUGGGUGAAGCGGGGGAGACCCCGUGGCCGAGAGGAGCCCAUACAGGUGGUGCAUGGCUGUCGUCAGCUCGUGUCGUGAGAUGUUGGGUUAAGUCCCGCAACGAGCGCAACCCCCGCCGCGUGUUGCCAUCGGGUGAUGCCGGGAACCCACGCGGGACCGCCGCCGUCAAGGCGGAGAAGGGCGGGGAGGACGUCAAGUCAUCAUGCCCCCUAUGCCCUGGGCUGCACACGUGCUACAAUGGCCGGUACAGAGGGAUGCCACCCCGCGAGGGGGAGCGGAUCCCGGAAAGCCGGCCCCAGUUCGGAUUGGGGGGUGCAACCCGCCCCCACGAAGUCGGAGUUGCUAGUAAUCGCGGAUCAGCAUGCCGCGGUGAAAGAGUUCCCGGGCCUUGCACUCACCGCCC